GUACCUGAGCCUUCUCAUUUGCUCCUUCUCUUUAAUCCUUGAUACUGGUGCUAGUGCUUUCCACAUGUAAUGCACCUUGGCAAGGAUUCGGAUGGGGUGAGUCUUAGCUG
ensembl:miRNA